rnacentral:misc_RNA from 1 species
AACAUAUACAGUCAUCUGUCCUAUAUGAUGGGUAGAGGGAAUUUCACGCAAGCACUAACUAUUUUUUAGGUUCUUAAUCUAAUGGUAUGAGUGAUUUCAAUUCUAUUGAUAUCAAUUCAUUAGAGAUUAUUAGUAAAAAAAAAUUUGAGUGAUAUGGAAAUUGAUGUUGGGAGAUAUCUUACAAGUCCAUAGCACGGUAAUAGUU